rnacentral:rRNA from 1 species
AUUGAACGCUGGCGGCAUGCCUUACACAUGCAAGUCGAACGGCAACAGGUCUUCGGAUGCUGACGAGUGGCGAACGGGUGAGUAAUACAUCGGAACGUGCCCGAUCGUGGGGGAUAACGGAGCGAAAGCGCAGCUAAUACCGCAUACGACCUGAGGGUGAAAGCGGGGGACCGUAAGGCCUCGCGCGAUUGGAGCGGCCGAUGUCAGAUUAGCUAGUUGGUGGGGUAAAGGCGUACCAAGGCAACGAUCUGUAGUUGGUCUGAGAGGACGACCAGCCACACUGGGACUGGGACGAGGCCCAGCCACCGACGGGAGGCAGCAGUGGGGAAUUUUGGACAAUGGGCGCAAGCCUGAUCCAGCAAUGCCGCGUGCAGGAGGGAGGCCUUCGGGUUGUAAACUGCUUUUGUCAGGGAAGAAAUCCUCUGGGUUAAUACCUCGGGGGGAUGACGGUACCUGAAGAAUAAGCACCGGCUAACUACGUGCCAGCAGCCGCGGUAACAC